rnacentral:rRNA from 1 species
UUAAGCGACUAAGCGUACACGGUGGAUGCCCUGGCAGUCAGAGGCGAUGAAGGGCGUGCUAAUCUGCGAUAAGCGCCGGUAAGGUGAUAUGAACCGUUAUAACCGGCGAUACCCGAAUGGGGAAACCCAGUGUGAUUCGUCACACUAUCAUUAACUGAAUCCAUAGGUUAAUGAGGCGAACCGGGGGAACUGAAACAUCUAAGUACCCCGAGGAAAAGAAAUCAACCGAGAUUCCCCCAGUAGCGGCGAGCGAACGGGGAGGAGCCCAGAGCCUGAAUCAGCAUGUGUGUUAGUGGAAGCGUCUGGAAAGGCGCGCGAUACAGGGUGACAGCCCCGUACACAAAAGCGCAUGUGCUGUGAGCUCGAUGAGUAGGGCGGGACACGUGGUAUCCUGUCUGAAUAUGGGGGGACCAUCCUCCAAGGCUAAAUACUCCUGACUGACCGAUAGUGAACCAGUACCGUGAGGGAAAGGCGAAAAGAACCCCGGCGAGGGGAGUGAAAAAGAACCUGAAACCGUGUACGUACAAGCAGUGGGAGCACAGGUUUACCUGUGUGACUGCGUACCUUUUGUAUAAUGGGUCAGCGACUUAUAUUCUGUAGCAAGGUUAACCGAAUAGGGGAGCCGGAGGGAAACCGAGUCUUAAUUGGGCGUUAAGUUGCAGGGUAUAGACCCGAAACCCGGUGAUCUAGCCAUGGGCAGGUUGAAGGUUGGGUAACACUAACUGGAGGACCGAACCGACUAAUGUUGAAAAAUUAGCGGAUGACCUGUGGCUGGGGGUGAAAGGCCAAUCAAACCGGGAGAUAGCUGGUUCUCCCCGAAAGCUAUUUAGGUAGCGCCUCGUGAAUUCAUCUCCGGGGGUAGAGCACUGUUUCGGCUAGGGGGCCAUCCCGGCUUACCAACCCGAUGCAAACUGCGAAUACCGGAGAAUGUUAUCACGGGAGACACACGGCGGGUGCUAACGUCCGUCGUGAAGAGGGAAACAACCCAGACCGCCAGCUAAGGUCCCAAAGUCAUGGUUAAGUGGGAAACGAUGUGGGAAGGCCCAGACAGCCAGGAUGUUGGCUUAGAAGCAGCCAUCAUUUAAAGAAAGCGUAAUAGCUCACUGGUCGAGUCGGCCUGCGCGGAAGAUGUAACGGGGCUAAACCAUGCACCGAAGCUGCGGCAGCGACACUGUGUGUUGUUGGGUAGGGGAGCGUUCUGUAAGCCUGUGAAGGUGUGUCGUGAGGCAUGCUGGAGGUAUCAGAAGUGCGAAUGCUGACAUAAGUAACGAUAAAGCGGGUGAAAAGCCCGCUCGCCGGAAGACCAAGGGUUCCUGUCCAACGUUAAUCGGGGCAGGGUGAGUCGACCCCUAAGGCGAGGCCGAAAGGCGUAGUCGAUGGGAAACGGGUUAAUAUUCCCGUACUUGGUGUUACUGCGAAGGGGGGACGGAGAAGGCUAUGUUGGCCGGGCGACGGUUGUCCCGGUUUAAGCGUGUAGGUGUGUGUUCCAGGUAAAUCCGGUUCACUUUAACACUGAGGCGUGACGACGAGGCACUACGGUGCUGAAGCAACAAAUGCCCUGCUUCCAGGAAAAGCCUCUAAGCAUCAGGUAACAUCAAAUCGUACCCCAAACCGACACAGGUGGUCAGGUAGAGAAUACCAAGGCGCUUGAGAGAACUCGGGUGAAGGAACUAGGCAAAAUGGUGCCGUAACUUCGGGAGAAGGCACGCUGACACGUAGGUGAAGUGAUUUACUCAUGGAGCUGAAGUCAGUCGAAGAUACCAGCUGGCUGCAACUGUUUAUUAAAAACACAGCACUGUGCAAACACGAAAGUGGACGUAUACGGUGUGACGCCUGCCCGGUGCCGGAAGGUUAAUUGAUGGGGUCAGCGCAAGCGAAGCUCCUGAUCGAAGCCCCGGUAAACGGCGGCCGUAACUAUAACGGUCCUAAGGUAGCGAAAUUCCUUGUCGGGUAAGUUCCGACCUGCACGAAUGGCGUAAUGAUGGCCAGGCUGUCUCCACCCGAGACUCAGUGAAAUUGAACUCGCUGUGAAGAUGCAGUGUACCCGCGGCAAGACGGAAAGACCCCGUGAACCUUUACUAUAGCUUGACACUGAACAUUGAGCCUUGAUGUGUAGGAUAGGUGGGAGGCUUUGAAGUGUGGACGCCAGUCUGCAUGGAGCCGACCUUGAAAUACCACCCUUUAAUGUUUGAUGUUCUAACGUGGACCCGUUACCCGGGUUGCGGACAGUGUCUGGUGGGUAGUUUGACUGGGGCGGUCUCCUCCUAAAGAGUAACGGAGGAGCACGAAGGUUGGCUAAUCCUGGUCGGACAUCAGGAGGUUAGUGCAAUGGCAUAAGCCAGCUUGACUGCGAGCGUGACGGCGCGAGCAGGUGCGAAAGCAGGUCAUAGUGAUCCGGUGGUUCUGAAUGGAAGGGCCAUCGCUCAACGGAUAAAAGGUACUCCGGGGAUAACAGGCUGAUACCGCCCAAGAGUUCAUAUCGACGGCGGUGUUUGGCACCUCGAUGUCGGCUCAUCACAUCCUGGGGCUGAAGUAGGUCCCAAGGGUAUGGCUGUUCGCCAUUUAAAGUGGUACGCGAGCUGGGUUUAGAACGUCGUGAGACAGUUCGGUCCCUAUCUGCCGUGGGCGCUGGAGAACUGAGGGGGGCUGCUCCUAGUACGAGAGGACCGGAGUGGACGCAUCACUGGUGUUCGGGUUGUCAUGCCAAUGGCACUGCCCGGUAGCUAAAUGCGGAAGAGAUAAGUGCUGAAAGCAUCUAAGCACGAAACUUGCCCCGAGAUGAGUUCUCCCUGAGACUUAAAGUCUCCUGAAGGAACGUUGAAGACGACGACGUUGAUAGGCCGGGUGUGUAAGCGCAGCGAUGCGUUGAGCUAACCGGUACUAAUGAACCGUGAGGCUUAACCUU